UACGUAGGGUGCAAGCGUUAAUCGGAAUUACUGGGCGUAAAGUGUGCGCAGGCGGCAGAGCAAGUCGAGUGUGAAAGCCCCGGGCUUAACUUGGGAAUUGCGCUCGAAACUACUUUGCUGGAGUGUGGCAGAGGAAGGUGGAAUUCCACGUGUAGCGGUGAAAUGCGUAGAGAUGUGGAGGAACACCAAUGGCGAAGGCAGCCUUCUGGGCCAACACUGACGCUCAUGCACGAAAGCGUGGGGAGCAAACAGG
rnacentral:rRNA from 1 species